UUUCCGCUCACCAUUUAGUGCAGCAGCUGAUUCAGCUCACCAUUUAGUGCAGCAGCUGGCUGCUGCACUAAAUGGUGAGCUGAAUCAGCUGCUGCACUAAAUGGUGAGCUGA
rnacentral:pre_miRNA from 1 species